CUAUUGACUCCGUCCGUCACGAAUGCUCGAUCAAAGGAGGCUUGGGCGAGGCUUGCAUAAUUGAGAGCAGUCACCGUCGGGCUGCUCCCAGCAAUCACCGCCAAAAUCCCGACAUUGACAGAACUGAGCCGUGCGACCGCCCAAGUGGGAAGCUUUGGGACCAACAACAGCUGCGAUCAUGACGGCAAGCGAUAAUCGAGGAACAUCGUGACGACAAGUACAUAAUGUGCCAUCGACGUGCUCGACAUUCCGCUGCGAAUUCCCUUCGUCUCUUACUACGCGAUCUCGACCACGAGAACAGACGAGAAAUAAGAUGAACCAAAAGAAGAGAUGGAACAGAAAGGGAAUAUUUGAAGCUGCGGAAACGGUGACGGGCAUAGGGAGAAAGAGAAGGAUAGAGACAAUGACGACAGAUAACUCCAUAUCUCGAUGACUCGAACUCUCCCUUUUCUGCCGGCGUAGCAUGGUGUCAAUCAACAUAUCGAUUCCCAACACUCAAUCAUCGCAAGAACAAAUGCAUGUGCCUCUCCUGCCAUCAACGGCCGGCUGCUGAAACAGCCGUCUCCCUGCUUAGGGCUACGAUAUGUUCGACGAAGAGAUAAGAGGCGACGGUGGUGCCAGUGUCGGACCAAGUCAUUGCGAGAACCAGAAGUCUCGCGUUCGGGAAGGAGUAUACCCCUGAGCCUGGCAUGCAACAGCAACGCGCCGAUGCGGAGAGGGUCGGGGAGGCGCACGUCGUAGGCCAGCCAGGGGUUCUCCGGCGUGGACACAGCAAGCCUUGAGGUCCUGAAGAAGACGAAAAUGACAUUAUGUAGUACGGCUGACAAACAGUGGAGGAGGUAGGCGUCUCGGCUAGGUUCAGUUGCCUACCUAGGUACUCAGGGACGUGUGCUCUCACGAUGUGAUUAGCGCCAUCCGGCCAGUCCGUAGCGAGGCGCCGGCCCUACCUGCGCCGGCAGACUUUUGUUUCAUGCGGCGGCGUGACUUACGUUACUUUUCGGAACGUGUAGCACCUGCGCGGCGCCCUUCGGAAUAUAGAUCGUGCGACAUGAACAACGAUGUGGCUACGUUGGCGUUUGUUCGUUUCCUUGACAACAGAUACCAAAACUUGCGCCGAAAGGGAAAUGACGGUGUGUGCGCUCAGCCUUGUUGAGUUUAUGAUGAUGGGUGUGCACAAUUGAUUUCCCAACAGGAGCUCCUCUGAUUAGCUUGGUAUCACCUCGAGUCUUUAGUGAGCACCAGCCACUCUCGGCAUGGUGUCUCAGAAUGCCGAGUGGUUUGCUCGGUACCUCUAGGGUCGUUGAGCUUAGAUCCCGUUCCUGUUUUCUUUCUAUUUUACACACGAUGCAUCGAGGCUCACUUGUAAGGUACCCACCUGUCUGAAAUGUCUGGCAAACAUCAGUGGAGCUGGAGAAGACCUGGCUCAAGGAUUGGAGAUGGCCUCACUCUAAGUUGAACACUAAGUCAGUCACUUUAGCAAUUCUAUCUUUGGUCGAUC